GACGAACGCUGGCGGCGUGCUUAACACAUGCAAGUCGAACGGAAAGGCCCUGCUUUUGUGGGGUGCUCGAGUGGCGAACGGGUGAGUAACACGUGUGUAACCUGCCCUUGACUUUGGGAUAACUUCAGGAAACUGGGGCUAAUACCGGAUAGGAGCUCCUGCUGCGUGGUGGGGGUUGGAAAGUUUCGGCGGUUGGGGAUGGACUCGCGGCUUAUCAGCUUGUUGGUGGGGUAGUGGCUUACCAAGGCUUUGACGGGUAGCCGGCCUGAGAGGGUGACCGGCCACAUUGGGACUGAGAUACGGCCCAGACUCGUACGGGAGGCAGCAGUGGGAAAUAUUGCACAAUGGGCGGAAGCCUGAGGCAGCAACGCCGCGUGCGGAAUACCGGCCUUCGGGUGGUAAACCGCUUUGGCCUGUGACGAAGCGUGAGUGACGGUAAUGGGUAAAGAAGCACCGGCUAACUACGUG
rnacentral:rRNA from 1 species